AAUUUUAGAGUUACCCGCCCUUUGUUUACGACAACUGACCGAAUGACAAGAACCUGACCCAUGAUUAAUACAUUUCUGGCUAUAUUUACCUACUGAUAAUGCCGGGACGCGGUGGCAGAAAUGCCAGAAAUGGUGUACAAUAUGUCGAGAAUGAUGAACCGUCUUUCAUAAAACAAUUCAAGCAAAGGAUCGGGUACAAAGAAGGGCCCACCGUCAACACAAAGCUUCAACAACCUGAGUUUGACUCUGAUGAGGAUGCACCCGAGUUGGACGAUGAGAAGCCCGUGGUUGUUGUCCUCAAGGAUGGGGAUCUCACAGAAGAUCAAGCUGACAAUGCCAAGAAGGAGUCAGAGAAAACAGCUGCCAGUGUGGAUGACAUCACCUCGGAAGGCAAGAUCACGUUUAAGAAACCUGUGAAGAGAUCAGCAGAGUCGGAAACCAAUGCAGAACUAUCAGUAAGCACAACAGGAAAGAAGAAGAAGGAGAAGAAAGAUAAACAGUCAUCAUCUAAAAAAGUAAAAAACUCCAACUUAUUGUCUUUUGGUGAUGAUGAAGAAGAGGAAGACUGAAUGAUGUGUCCUCGGUGUGACAGUGUUACCAUGGUGACAAUAAGAUGGGUGGGACUGAAUUAUGUGCACUCAUUGUGGCACUGUUACCAUGGUGACAAUAAGAUGGGUUGGACUGAAUGAUACACUCUUGCUUUGACAUUGUUACCAUGGUAACAGUGAGAUGGUAUGGAUGACUAAAGAUUGUGCACUGGAUGAUACAGUGUAACCAUGGUAACCAUGAGAAGAUGGGGGAAACUGAAUCCAUGAUGUGCAGAUGCUCUGAUGGUGCUGCCAUGGUGACAAGAAAAGAAGGAGACUUUGUGGUAACAGUGUUACCAUGGAAAAGAAAACUCUGAGAUGUAACAGUGCUACAGCGGAAACAAGAAGCAGUGACCUUGAGAUGUGAACUUGCUGUGACUGUCACUAUAAUUUAUCCUGUUUCACUCAUCUCUGUUGUUCAUCAUUGUUGUUCAUCAUUAUGUUGCAUUUGUAUAUUCUCAUUCAUGUCCCAAUCAAGAAUGAAGGUGUUUCAGUAGAA